rnacentral:rRNA from 1 species
AAUUCGAUGAUACGCGAGGAACCUUACCUGGGCUUAAAUGGGAGUGACAGCUGCGAAAGAUGGUUUCUUCGGACACUCUUCAAGGUGCUGCAUGGUUGUCGUCAGCUCGUGCCGUGAGGUGUCGGGUUAAGUCCCAUAACGAGCGCAACCCUUACCGUUAGUUACCAUCAGGUUAAGCUGGGGACUCUAGCGGGACUGCACCGUAAGGUGAGAGAAGUGGGGAUGACGUCAAAUCAGCACGGCCCUUAUGUCCAGGGCUACACACGUGUUACAAUGGCCAGUACAAAGGGCAGCUACCGGGUGACCGGAUGCUAAUCUCUAAAGCUGGUCUCAGUUCGGAUCGAAGUCUGCAACCCGACUUCGUGAAGCUGGAUUCGCUAGUAAUCGCGCAUCAGCCAUGGCGCGGUGAAUACGUUCCCGGGCCUU